GCCAGCAUGGCAUACUGGUUUGAGUGUCGAACUAUGACUCUGGAGACCAGGGUUGGAUUCCCUGCUCAGCCA